GGAUGGGUGGCCGAGCGGUUGAAGGCACCGGUCUUGAAAACCGGCAAACGUGAGAGCGUUUCGUGGGUUCGAAUCCCACCCCAUCCGCCA
rnacentral:tRNA from 3 species